rnacentral:rRNA from 1 species
UACGGGAGGCAGCAGUGGGGAAUAUUGCACAAUGGGGGAAACCCUGAUGCAGCAACGCCGCGUGAAGGAAGAAGUAUUUCGGUAUGUAAACUUCUAUCGACAGGGAAGAAACAAAUGACGGUACCUGAAUAAGAAGCACCGGCUAAAUACGUGCCAGCAGCCGCGGUAAUACGUAUGGUGCAAGCGUUAUCCGGAUUUACUGGGUGUAAAGGGUGAGUAGGCGGUCAUGCAAGUCAUAUGUGAAAUGUCAGGGCUUAACCUUGGCGCUGCAUAAGAAACUGUAUGACUAGAGUGCAGGAGAGGUAAGCGGAAUUCCUAGUGUAGCGGUGAAAUGCGUAGAUAUUAGGAAGAACACCGGUGGCGAAGGCGGCUUACUGGACUGUUACUGACGCUGAGUCACGAAAGCGUGGGGAGCAAACAGGAUUAGAUACCCUGGUAGUCCACGCCGUAAACGAUGAGUGCUAGGUGUUGGCCAGAGAUGGUCGGUGCCGCAGCAAA